CCUUAUACCGGUAGUUGUAAAUCCCAUUUUUCCCUCCCCAACGAAGUUUGUGGUUUGCUACUCUUAUACCGGUAGUUGUAAAUCCCAUUUUUCCCUCCCCAAUGGAGUCUGUGGUUUUCUGCCCAGUAUACCGGUAGUUGUAAAUCCUACUUUUUUUUCCUAGCGGAGUUUGUGGUUUUCUACCCUUAUACCGGUAGUUGUAAACCCUAUGUUCCUCCCUUCGCAGAGUUAAC
rnacentral:lncRNA from 1 species